rnacentral:rRNA from 1 species
CCUACGGGAGGCUGCAGUGAGGAAUAUUGGUCAAUGGCCGUAAGGCUGAACCAGCCAAGUCGCGUGAAGGAAGAAGGAUCUAUGGUUUGUAAACUUCUUUUAUAGGGGAGUAAAGGUAUCCACGUGUGGAUCUUUGCAUGUACCCUAUGAAUAAGCAUCGGAUCACUCCGUGCCAUCCGCCGCGGGAAUACGGAGGAUGCGAGCGUUAUCCGGAUUGAUUGGGUGUAAAGGGUGCGUAGGUUGUUUGUUAAGUCAGCGGUGAAAGUUUGUGGCUCAACCAGAAAAUUGCCGUUGAAACUGGAAGACUGGAGUGUGUUUGAGGUAGGCGGAAUGCGAGGUGUAGCAGUGAAAUGCAUAGAUAUCACGCAGAACUCCGAUUGCGAAGGCAGCUUACUAAGACAUAACUGACACUGAGGCACGAAAGCGUGGGGAGCAAACAGGAUUAGAUACCCGGGUAGUC